rnacentral:lncRNA from 10 species
CCUAAGUUAUGCAAAGAUAAACCAAAGUAUCUGCCCAUUUUUUCUGUGGAAAAAAAAAAUAAUAAAACUACCCAUAAUCUGAAAGCAGAUAUUUUAGACAAGGAAGCUAAAUGUUUCUUUGGUAUAGUAAUAUAACUUUUAUUGGAUCAAAGUUCUAAGCCUUAAACCUGCAGAUUUUAUUGCUUUUAUGAGAAGAGUGAGAAUGUUUCUGUAGGGAUUUAGGUGACAGGAAUAAAUUCCUUUCUUGGACCUUGGAAUUGUUGAGUAUUCCUAGGGGUGAGGGAAGGAAGUGAGGGUGGGGUUGGUGGGGAUUUCUGUAUUGCUAAUGGAGGGCUGAGAACGUGUUAGAAAGUACCUUACCUUGUAAGGAAAUCUAACCCUACAGGGAAAGUUUCUAAAGUUAGCUGAUGGUUUCUACUUUUUUUUUUUUUUUUUUUUUUUGUGACAGGGUCUUGUGCUGUCACUCAAGCUGGACUGCAGUGGCAUGAUCACAGCUCAAGCGGUCCUCCUGCCCCAGCCUCCCAAGUAGCUGAGAGCUCAGAGGACAGGUGUGCACCACCACGCCCAGCUAACUUUUUAAAUUUUUGAUAGAGACAGGGUCUCACUAUGUUGCCCAGGCUAGUCUCAAACUCCUGGCCUCUAGUGAUCCCCCUGCUUUAGCCUCAGAUAGGAGGCCAAAGUGCCGGGAUUACAGACAUGAGCCACGACACCCAGCCAGUUUCCACUUCUUAAUGGAGAAUCAGAGUCAGGUUCUAUUUUAAGAUAGUUAAAAGUGGUAAGAACAAGAAACAGCGCUGCCUACAUUGCAGCAACCAUAAGCAGAGCCAGCAAUGGUGGGGCAUAGUAGCUUGAUGAGGAAGCAAAGCAGAUCAUGAGGAAAUUUGCCUCUCAUCACAUGGAUGCAGAGUAUGAGGAACCACUCAGAAAUGACUAAGGGGCAUGAUAAAGCCAACCAAACUCUUGGGAUCCAAGAUUUCUCGGUGUCCAUUCUGGGGUGGAAUCAGUCUAUCUGCACUUUUAACAAGCUCCUGGACUCUUCCAGUGCAGUCAACACUGGGGCCUCAUUCUACUGGAGGUCACAAGGCAGUGGUUCUCAUGAUUCAGGAUCCUUAAGGAUCUCCUGAGUGCUUGCUAAAAAGACAGAGAGAUCCCAGGCCUCCAGUCCAGAGAGCCUGAUUUAUGUCUCUCAUUUUAGUAAGCACUCAGAUAAUACUGAUGCAGACAGUCAAGAGAACUCUUUAAGAAAAAUAGCCUAAAAACUUACAGCAUUUUUAUCAGGUAUUAAUGUGAGACCUAUAGCAAAGAGACAAGCCAUUUCUUACUUAAAAUAAGACAAUACAUUUUAGCUCUUUACAUCUCUGGCUAAAAGCUAUUUUCUAAUCAGUGAUAACUCUGGAGCUUCAUUUUGGAAUAAUUAGCUUAAAUGUCAGCACUAGAAGUUAUUAUCUUAAUGAAGUCUUUUUAAAUAUUAAUAUAAUAUGUUGCUGUUUUAUAUUUUUAAAAUAAAUAAUAAUUUUAUUUUUUUCCUCCAUCCAUAUUUUUUUUUUUUUUUGAGACAGAGUCUUGCUUGUUGCCCAGGCUGGAGUGCACUGGCACGAUCCUGGCUCACUGCAACCUCUGCCGCCCAAGUUCAAGUGCUUCUCCUGCCUCAGCCUCCAAAGUAGUGAUUACAGGUGUGCACCACCAUGCCCAGCUAAUUUUUGUAUUUUUAGUAGAGACAGGGUUUCGCCAUGUUGGCCAGGCUGGUCUUGAAAACUUGACCUCAGGUGAUCUGCCCGCCUCAGUCUCCCAAAGUGCUGGGAUUACAGCCGUGAGCCACCGCCCCCGGUCACAGUAUUUUUUGAAUGCCUACUAUAUGCAAGAAAUAAAGCAUGAUAGAGAACACAAUGUUAAUUUAAACAAACUUGUUUCAGGUACUUUAAAACCAGUGGGUUUUUAGAAUUAGUGAACUAACACUUAUUGGCCUUCUGGCUAAGAUCAAGUGUAGAUUAGAAUUAGUGAACUAAAGAUAUCUACUAGGUAUUCUGUUCCAUGGAAAAUGUCUGAUUAUAUAGGAUUUAAAAAUAAAUAUUUUCUUAAAUAAUGAUUAUGUACAUAAUUCCCUCCCUUGUGUACUGCAAUUGGAUUUUAAGUCCUUC